ensembl:lncRNA
AUGCUCGCAGCGCCAGACCCGCUCAGGUCGGGUUUCUCCGGGAUCGCUCUACGUCUGCGGGCUGAUUUCUGUGCCCGAGGUAUUGUUCUGUAUCGCUGCAUCGGAGCCAUACGAGAGCGGGCCAUGAGGACUUUUCCCAAAAACAGAAGCUGCGAAGUUUACAGCGUCUCUGGUUUGGGAGCCUGCGCCCCCGCCGGUGCACCUGCACAGGAGGACUUUGUGACGAAACCCACCCAGACGUCAAGUCCAUCUAGCAGCGAGUCUGACAUCAAGAGCCCGGUGGGCAAGAGAGCGAAUUGCAGGGCAUGGAGUAAGUGGGCACUGAGAGCCUCCCCCCUCCUCCCUCUCUCGGCUGCCAUUGCACUGACUCUCCAUUUCCUUGCAUCCUCUCCAUCGCUCUCAGUGUUCUACCUUGGAGGAAGCAUUGAGUUCUCCAACCUCAGCUUCUCUCCAGACCUGGCAGACCCGUCGUCUACAAAGUUCCGCCUCCAGUCUCAGGCGCUAAGCCAUUAUGUAAGCAUAAACAUACAUAACAGUCUCUCUGUGCCGUCCUCGGCAACAAAGCCGGUUUCUCCGUGAUCUCUCCGGAAUGCAGCCACUCUCCAGAGACCAUUCAAGGAACGAUGCUUGGCCCUGGCACUUUCAAACGCAAAGUCCACCAGAGCUGCAGGUCCAGUGGUGCGCUCGUCCCUCAUCGUCACCCUUUUAAAUGUAAAGCAGGCUCUGCUGAGUCUUCGGCCGCUCUGUGGCCCUCUUAAAUGUAAAGCCAGCUGUAACUGGAGCCCAGCUCGGUGUGAGGCAGCGCGGUGAGACUGGCUCCCAGAGGACUACGGCUUUUCAGGGCUGAGGACAAGAACAGUGUUUGUGAGAGGGACAGGGCCCAGGCAGGCUGAGUGAGAGGAAGAGCAGUCCUUCAAUAAAAACAUUGUCUGUGAGCUUCCUCACACACAAUCAGAUGCUCUGUACCUCUUUGCUGAGAGACUGCAGCCAGCGGAGAAAAGAAAGGUAGAUCAGGGGACAGAGUAGGCCAGGAGAGAGAGAGAAAGUAAGGAUUUAGGGCACCGAAAGAGAGGGCAGGAAAGCCAGUAUCAUGGGAAUGGUUGGCAUUUGUGUCUGCAUUAGGCGUGAGAUUAAUGGAGGCCAAUGAGGAAGCCAGCCAAGUGUGGCUUCUCGUCUGGCGCGAUGCUCUAAUUAGCCUAAACGGAACCCAUUUAAUCCAAUUUAAUAGUGAGCGAAUGCGAUUGUGAGAACUGAUGGCCUGCAGGUGUGCACUCUUGCUCAUAAAACUAGUUCUAAACCCACCGCCCGCCCCUUCCAUCCAGUGCUUCAGGAUGACAUUGAGCCCCAGACAAUGGCGCUGUUGUUGCCCAAAGCUCUUGUUGCUCAAAGGCAAUAUCACAAGAACAGUGCUUUUGUGCCAAGGCUGCAGGUCUCGCCUGGGCCACUGAUGUCUCACCUUCUUCAAUGACGUCACGCCUUCCGUAGCUCUGAUGUCACUGAGACGUCUCAAUAUACUGUUUAUACCAGGCGGAAACUUCAUGACCUUGGUAGAUGUUAUCAGUGGUUUGUUUACAGCUUUCAGAAAUAGUUUGAGAAUGGAAAAAGAAUAGCGGCUGGUGUUUGUCAUGGUAAUUUUUCUGUAUCAUCUCUUUACUUCCUUUCGGUUGAUGUGCCGUGGAUCUAAGUUCUCAGAGUUGUAUGAUUCUUCACCAUGGAGCACGUAUUACCAGCACUCAGGAAUUAUUGCAUUCAGGUGAGUCUGUACAUGAACACAGAUAUCACAGUAUGUUUAUAAACUACAUCAAAAUUAGCCUUUUUUAUCCAUUGUGUUUAUGUGCAAGCACACAAAAUGGUUUCUGAUUGGCUAAAAAGUGCC